rnacentral:rRNA from 1 species
UUCGCUCCCCACGCUUUCGUCCCUCAGCGUCAGUACAUACGUAGUAGACUGCCUUCGCAAUCGGUAUUCUGUGUAAUAUCUAUGCAUUUCACCGCUACACUACACAUUCUAUCUACUUCCAUAUGACUCAAGUCAACCAGUAUCAAAGGCAGUUCCAUAGUUGAGCUAUGGGAUUUCACCUCUGACUUAAUUGACCGCCUGCGGACCCUUUAAACCCAAUGAUUCCGGAUAACGCUCGGACCCUCCGUAUUACCGCGGCUGCUGGCACGGAGUUAGCCGGUCCUUAUUCUUACAGUACCGUCAAGCUGCUACACGUAGCAGGGUUUCUUCCUGUAUAAAAGCAGUUUACAACCCAUAGGGCCGUCUUCCUGCACGCGGCAUGGCUGGGUCAGAGUUGUCUCCAUUGCCCAAUAUUCCUCACUGCUGCCUCCCGUAGGAGUCUGGUCCGUGUCUCAGUACCAGUGUGGGGGAUCUCCCUCUCAGGACCCCUACCUAUCGCUGUCUUGGUAAGCCGUUACCUUACCAACUAACUAAUAGGACGCAUAGCCAUCUUUUACCGAUAAAUCUUUAAUUAAGUCUCGAUGCCAAGUCUCAAUACUAUAAGGUAUUAAUCUUCAUUUCUAAAGGCUAUCCCUCUGUAAAAGGUAAGUUCUAUACGCGUUACGCACCCGUGCGCCGGUCGUCAGCGAGUGCAAGCACUCCUGUUACCCCUCGACUUGCAUGUGUUAAGCCUGCCGCUAGCGUUCAUCCUGAGCCAGGAUCAAACUCU